rnacentral:rRNA from 1 species
GACUGUAGGUGAAAGCUUACAUCUCUUCGGAGCAUUUUACGAGGUGCUGCAUGGUUGUCGUCAGCUCGUGCCGUGAGGUGUCGGGUUAAGUCCCAUAACGAGCGCAACCCCUACCUUUAGUUGCCAUCAGGUUAAGCUGGGGACUCUAAAGGAACUGCCUACGCAAGUAGUGAGGAAGGCGGGGAUGACGUCAAAUCAGCACGGCCCUUACGUCCAGGGCUACACACGUGCUACAAUGGCCGAUACAGAGGGCAGCUACCUGGUGACAGGAUGCAAAUCUCCAAAGUCGGUCUCAGUUCGGAUCGGAGUCUGCAACCCGACUCCGUGAAGUUGGAUUCGCUAGUAAUCGCGCAUCAGCCAUGGCGCGGUGAAUACGUUCCCGGGCCUU